UACAGAGGGUGCAAGCGUUAAUCGGAAUUACUGGGCGUAAAGCGUGCGUAGGCGGUUAUCUAAGUCGGAUGUGAAAUCCCCGGGCUCAACCUGGGAAUUGCAUUCGAAACUGAAUAGCUAGAGUUCGGCAGAGGGAAGUGGAAUUUCUGGUGUAGCGGUGAAAUGCGUAGAUAUCAGAAGGAACAUCAGUGGCGAAAGCGACUUCCUGGACCAGAACUGACGCUCAGGCACGAAAGCGUGGGGAGCAAACAGG
rnacentral:rRNA from 1 species